CUACGUGCCAGCAGCCGCGGUAAUACGGAAGGUCCAGGCGUUAUCCGGAUUUAUUGGGUUUAAAGGGAGCGUAGGCUGGAGAUUAAGUGUGUUGUGAAAUUUAGAUGCUCAACAUUUAACUUGCAGCGCGAACUGUCAGACUUGAGUACACGCAACGUAUGCGGAAUUCAUGGUGUAGCGGUGAAAUGCUUAGAUAUCAUGAAGAACUCCGAUUGCGAAGGCAGCAUACGGGAGUGUAACUGACGCUUAAGCUCGAAGGUGCGGGUAUCGAACAGGAUUAGAUACCCUGGUAGUCCGCACAGUAAACGAUGGAUGCCCGCUGUUAGCGCCUGGCGUUAGCGGCUAAGCGAAAGCAUUAAGCAUCCCACCUGGGGAGUACGCCGGCAACGGUGAAACUCAAAGGAAUUGACGGGGGCCCGCACAAGCGGAGGAACAUGUGGUUUAAUUCGAUGAUACGCGAGGAACCUUACCCGGGCUUGAAUUGCAGAUG
rnacentral:rRNA from 1 species